UGUGGGAACACUACAUGUAAAUAUUCUUAUUACAGUUAUGAACAGACUAUCUUCAGUAAUACUGUUUAUCAUCUUAACUGUAUUUUUUGUAUAUUCUUUAAUAUUCGCUGUUAUUUCCGCAAAAUAUUAAUUUUUUAGCAUUCUUUAAAUUCUCAAACGGAUUACAAUCACUUUUAUUGUAUAGGGUAUAUGUACAUCGCAAGAUGCGUUAACUCAUGAGCUAAAGUACCUAAUAGUUGAUUUUCCUCUAUCUUAGCUUGUAUGUAAAUUCUACCGUCUUCAUAAUUAGUAGUUCUUGUUGUAUUUUUCGAAGCAGUAGGAUUAAUAUCCUUGAUGUUUUCAUUAUCAAAAUCCAAAAUUAUGUCAAGAUAAUCUGUAUAUUGUAUCACUUUAAGAAUUAUUGAUACUUCAGGAAUAGCAUCCAAAGAGACCUAUAAAAUUUUCGAUUCGCUCUUUGACAACAGGUUUCUCUAACCUUGAUUUUGAUGUUAAAUAAAGAAUAUGUCCCUGAUCAAUUUGAGGAAAUGUAGAAAUCAUUUCUGUUUUUAGCGUAUCUUUUUCUCCUUGAUAAAGUUUAUUUAUGCAUUUUUCCACAUUUUUAUUUUUAAAAAUGAAUCCAGCAGACUUAAGAAUCUUAAGCAGCAGACCUAAGAAUCAUAAAUUUCGAAUCUUUUGUUUUCAAUAAGUGUAAAAAUUGCCGAUUGACCUUCACUAUUUAAAUAAAAUUUUGCUCCGCUAAUAUCCUUUACGCGGUUUUCUUUAAUCUGUUUAUGUAAAGAAUUCCUUCAUUUAACACAGUUGGAUCAAAGUGAUUAAGUGGCACUUUUUUCCAUACUACUUACAUUACCGAGGUACAUUCUAAGAAUCCAUUGUUUGCACAAUUAAAUUUCUAAUAAAAAUAUAAAAUAAAUAGAUACAAGGAUUAUAAAUAUUUUCAUAAAAUGUAUUUAUUUAUUCAAUCCUUCAGAAAUAUAAUCAAUGUGUACACAUAAACUCUUAAACAAUGGAAAUAAUUUUAUUUCGUUUCUUUCUUAUAUCUUUGUACACGUUACUCCAUGAUCCAUAAUUAAAAUCUGCCAACUCUUCUAUUUGUUCCAAAUAUUUGUAUGUUGUUGCCAAUAGAAUUCUAUAACAUGAAAAUAUUUACAUAUAUUAUUUAUCACUAACUUUAAGGGGGUAUGCUAGACUAUAAGACCUUAAAAAAUCGAUUUCUUUUAUUUCAUUUUCUGAAAGUAUAUGCUUUCAAAAAUAAUUGUACUAAGUGAUAUUAUUGGAUCCUAGAAAUUGAUGAAGUUAUACAUAGUCGUUUGAACAGUCCGACCAGGCCGUUAGGACACAUGCUGAUCCAUGCAGAUUGACAAAAGAAGAAGAAAUUCAGAUUCAUUCACAUUUGAACGGCCGGAAUCAUGACAACCAUAAGGCAUCUUUUUGAAAGAAGAUUACUCACGAUACUCGUUACAAAAAUGUUUUAAUAUUGUUAAAAGAAUAAAAAAUAUAUAUAAAAAACGCCGA